CCUACGGGAGGCAGCAGUGGGGAAUAUUGCGCAAUGGGGGCAACCCUGACGCAGCCAUGCCGCGUGAAUGAAGAAGGCCUUCGGGUUGUAAAGUUCUUUCGGUGUUGAGGAAGGAUGUUGUGUUAAUAGCGCAACAAAUUGACGUUAAACACAGAAGAAGCACCGGCUAACUCCGUGCCAGCAGCCGCGGUAAUACGGAGGGUGCGAGCGUUAAUCGGAAUAACUGGGCGUAAAGGGCACGCAGGCGGAUUUUUAAGUGAGGUGUGAAAGCCCCGGGCUUAACCUGGGAAUUGCAUUUCAGACUGGGAAUCUAGAGUACUUUAGGGAGGGGUAGAAUUCCACGUGUAGCGGUGAAAUGCGUAGAGAUGUGGAGGAAUACCGAAGGCGAAGGCAGCCCCUUGGGAAUGUACUGACGCUCAUGUGCGAAAGCGUGGGGAGCAAACAGGAUUAGAUACCCGUGUAGUC
rnacentral:rRNA from 1 species